UCCAGACUCCUACGGGAGGCAGCAGUGGGGAAUAUUGCACAAUGGGGGAAACCCUGAUGCAGCGACGCCGCGUGAGCGAUGAAGUAUUUCGGUAUGUAAAGCUCUAUCAGCAGGGAAGAAAAUGACGGUACCUGACUAAGAAGCCCCGGCUAACUACGUGCCAGCAGCCGCGGUAAUACGUAGGGGGCAAGCGUUAUCCGGAUUUACUGGGUGUAAAGGGAGCGUAGACGGCGGUGCAAGCCAGAUGUGAAAGCCCGGGGCUCAACCCCGGGACUGCAUUUGGAACUGUGCUGCUAGAGCGUCGGAGAGGCAGGCGGAAUUCCCAGUGUAGCGGUGAAAUGCGUAGAUAUUAGGAGGAACACCAGUGGCGAAGGCGGCCUGCUGGACGACAACUGACGGUGAGGCGCGAAAGCGUGGGGAGCAAACAGGAUUAGAUACCCGGGUAGA
rnacentral:rRNA from 1 species